rnacentral:rRNA from 1 species
GACAGCAGCAGCCGCGGUAAUACGUAGGUCCCGAGCGUUGUCCGGAUUCAUUGGGCGUAAAGCGAGCGCAGGCGGUUAGAUAAGUCUGAAGUUAAAGGCUGUGGCUUAACCAUAGUACGCUUUGGAAACUGUUUAACUUGAGUGCAAGAGGGGAGAGUGGAAUUCCAUGUGUAGCGGUGAAAUGCGUAGAUAUAUGGAGGAACACCGGUGGCGAAAGCGGCUCUCUGGCUUGUAACUGACGCUGAGGCUCGAAAGCGUGGGGAGCAAACAGGAUUAGAUACCCCAGUAGUCCCUGUCUCUUAUACA